rnacentral:rRNA from 1 species
CAGCAGCCGCGGUAAUACGGAGGGUGCAAGCGUUAAUCGGAAUUACUGGGCGUAAAGCGCACGCAGGCGGUCUGACAAGUCAGAUGUGAAAUCCCCGGGCUUAACCUGGGAACUGCAUUUGAAACUGUCAGGCUGGAGUCUUGUAGAGGGGGGUAGAAUUCCAGGUGUAGCGGUGAAAUGCGUAGAGAUCUGGAGGAAUACCGGUGGCGAAGGCGGCCCCCUGGACAAAGACUGACGCUCAGGUGCGAAAGCGUGGGGAGCAAACAGGAUUAGAUACCCCCGUAGCCCUGUCUCUUAUACA